rnacentral:rRNA from 1 species
AUGGAGGAGGGUGUGGCCGAUGCUGCUACUGGUGGCGGGAUGGAUGGCGCGGUGGAGGGCGUGGCCGACGCUGCGCCGGUCUCAGCCUCGGGCGGCCAUGGCGGGGAGGCGACGGGCGGCCAUGGCGGGGAGGCGAAGGGCGUCCAUGCCGGGGAGGCGGAGGGAGUUCCAGGCGCGCCACUGGAGGGCGUCCAUUGCGGGGAGGCGGAGGGAGCUCCAGGUGCGGCGCCGGAGGGCGGCCAUGGCGGGGAGGCAGAGGGAGGUUCAGGUGCGACGGCCUCGGAUGCAAGUGCUCUGGCAUGGCUACAAGGGAUGGAUCCAAAUUCAACAUAUUUGCUGAAAAUCAAAUUGCUUGGCAACCCAAAAAAAGCUAGGAAGGAUAUCAAAUGCUUUUGUUAUGAUAAGGUUAUUGAUUCCGACUUAAUGAAUUAUAAGGACUUGGUUGAAUCAAUCGUAGAGCAGUACUCGCCUCGCUAUUUGGAAGUUGCACAUGUUCAGUACUAUGAUCCUUUUCUUAAAAUCUACCCAGAAGUAACAUCUGACCAGGAAUUGGUGUCUAUGUUUGAGAAACUCUCUAAGACAAAGGUUGUGCACUUGUUUGUUGCAUAUUGUGAUCCAUCUGAACCAUAUGAGCCUAUCACGGAGUGGCAUAUUGAUGUGCAUAUCCAACCUAGCAACACAGAACAAGACGACGAUGAUUAUCUUCGCAACCCAAUACCUGAGAAUGAACAUGUUGGUGUUGAUGAGGAAAAUAUUUAUUUAGACGAUGAUGAUUAUGAUAAAUUAGAUCCUCUUAUCAUGGUUCCCUGUUCCGAUAAAGAAAGGGACGAAGACUAUGUUCCUGAUCAUGAGAGCGAGGAUGAGAGCGAGGAUGAGAGCGAUGAGGAAGUAGAGGAAGAUGAGGAAGUGCACGAGGCAGAGCAUGCACCACAUUUAGAAUAUGAUAAAUUAGAUCCCCCAAUGACCGAAGGAAGAAAAUAUCCCAAUAUGGCAGAGUUUAAGUUGGCGCUUUCUCAACAUGCAAUCAAACAUGAAUUCGAGUUUAACACCGAGAAAAGUGCACCACAUAGGUUCAGGGCUUAUUGUUCAAGAAGGGAUGAAGAUAAGUGUCCAUGGAGGAUAUAUGCUUCUACAAUGGAAGAUGGGUGCACCGUAAUGGUAAUUUCUAACUUUACUCAUGUGUGCUUAAAUUGUUAA